rnacentral:tRNA from 1 species
UAAUUAGCUAAUUGGCAGAAAAAUGCAUUAGAAUUAGAAUCUAAUAAAACUUCA